CAUCAUCGUCGUCUCCAUCUUCUUCGGUCCUUUUUUUUUUCUUAAGCUUCCAACAUAGGUGGGCGGAAGAUCAGGGCAUCAUAAUCUUCUUCCUCCCUUUUUCUUUUUCCCCUAUUAAGAGGGUUGCAGCACAAGGGGAAAGUGAGGAUUGAUCAAGAGGGCUGAGGAGGGAGAGUGAGUGAAAUAAGAAGGUGGUUGCAAGGGCGGAGAGGGUUGCAGCACAAGGGGAAAGUGAGGAUUGAUCAGUAGGGCUGAGGAGAGGGAGAGAGAGAGAUAGAGGGCAGUUGCAGGGGCGGAGGUUGCAGAGACGACUGUCGUCGGACCUACAAGUGAACCCACCAUUUUACCCAUCUGAAACCCCUGUUAUUGAAAACCAUAACCAGACCCCUGGCUGAAAUCCUUGCUGCUGUUGUCCGAUUUGCAAGUGAACUCACUAUGCAUCGGACCUGUAACCUCUGAUUUGUUUCAAUAUCUUCGCCUGCACUUGUGAUCGUCAGCCAUGAGAACAUGAGAGGGAUCGGGGUCAUGGGAAGUUGCAGACUAGGAGGUUGCACAGGCUUGCAAAGGUGACGGUUACUUGAGUUGUUGAAGGCUUGCUCCAUCUCCAACCACUUUUCGUAGGAUUUUUACCAAAGUCCUUCCAAAUUAGUGGGACAUUGGAAAGGACUGAGGUGGGAGAAUCUCUGGGACACGUCGGCCGAUAAUAAAACUAGAGGAACAGAAGGCUGUCUAUAUAUUUUCUCACACCCUUUCAUUCAAACAACCUAAAAUCUCACAGGGUGGGAUAGUUGUAGGAGAGUCAUACAACUAUCCCAACCCUCAACUCCCACCCUACCAAAACCCUUCUAAACAAACGGGUUCUAUGAGAAUAUCAUUCUCGUGGACCUGAUCUCAUUGUCCAUCCCCAUUGAAGACCGCCAAAACCCAAAAUUUUGAGCUUGUGGCCCCCACACUGCGCCACUGAUGACCAUUCGUCCAAGAACAGAUUAAAUUUUCUUUUAUGGCUUGUUUCAAGCUAUUUUCAUUUCGAUUUCUUCUGUUCCGAGCCGACUACUGAGGAAACUCGUGAUCAAAUCAAGUUUCUACUCGUAAAUCUCUUAUCGUUCUUACGGGGAAAAAAUGCAAAAUGCAAA